GAUUUCAUUUAGGUACUGGACACCCUUGGUGAUGUCAACCAAGAUAUUUGGACCAGUUCCAUCAGGUCCAAAGCACCAGAUCUUACGAACUUCAGACACAUCCCACUCAUAUUUCUCUGCCAGAUAUAAACACAAAAGAAGCCUUUUAUACCUUGAUUGGAAUGCAAGCAUGAUCUUCUUCCAGAUCUUUAAGGCAAAUUUCUAGAUGCAGCUCACCAGCUCCAGCAAUGAUGUGCUCACCCGACUCUUCAAUAAUACACUAGAACAUGAAAUACUAGUUGUGUAAGAGUAAAAAAUUGUUUCUUAAAUUAAUUUAAAUCAGAACAUUCCACAAGCAUUUUCUGUUAGAUUAAUCUGUGAUUGAUUUUUUCUAAAAUUGCUUAGUAAUGGCUGUUAUUGUGGAGAUUAACCAAAUAUCAUUACAUUUAUGAAGUGCCUUUCAUCCCAAGGAUUUAACAAUGAAUCACCUUACCCACCAGUGAAAUGUUGCAGGUGGUCUAACAUCAUACAGCAAAACUACACAGUAGCUUAUGAUAGGAAGUGAAGAGCGCUCCAUAACAUUGGAACUGUAUAUGGAAUUCAGGCAGGCAGGCAGAAACUGCCCACACUAAUUUAGCCAGACACUAAGACUAAUACCAUCCCCACAUUCCCACACUUGGAAAAUCUGUAAUGACAAGUAGUCAGGAUCUCGGUUUUACAAUCUCAUCUGAAAGAUAAGCAACUCCCAACAUCAUGCUGGGACAUUGUUUCAAUACUAAAUCAAAGGGAAGAGUGCUGCCUAAUGAAUAACCAAUACUACUCAUUGCAAAACCUGGGUUUUCCUUAGAGACUUCCUAUCCAAGUUCUGACUAGGCCCAUCCCUGCUUAGCUUGUUGAGUUUCAAAUGAUUACAACGUAAGUGGUAUGGCUGCAGAUUCUAAACAUCAGAUUAUGAAAGCUAUCAUGAAUAAGUCUCUUUCUGAAUAAAGUCUGAGUACUUCACGGCAAACCAGCAACUCUAAAACUAACACUCACCUGAACACUAACACUCACCUGAACCAUGGGAUCAGACUUGGCCAGACGCCUUAGACCUUCAACUAGUUUUGGUAGAUCAGCAGGGUUUUUAGCUUCAACAGCAACACGUACAACGGGGCUAACACUAAAUUUCAUCACUCGCAUGUUGUGUGCAUGCUCAAAGGUGGUAAUUGUAC